rnacentral:rRNA from 1 species
CAAUAGCGUAUAUUAAAGUUGUUGCAGUUAAAAAGCUCGUAGUUGGAUUUGUGGCGUACGGUGUGUUCCGGGCACUUGUUGUCUGAGUAACCUGCUGUUGCCAUCCUUGGGUGGAACCUGUGUGGCAUUAGGUUGUCGUGCAGGGGAUGCCCAUCAUUUACUGUGAAAAAAUUAGAGUGUUCAAAGCAGGCUUAUGCCGUUGAAUAUAUUAGCAUGGAAUAAUGAGAUAGGACUUUUUUGCUAUUUUGUUGGUUUGCGCAAGAAGGUAAUGAUUAAUAGGGACAGUUGGGGGUAUUCGUAUUCCAUUGUCAGAGGUGAAAUUCUUGGAUUUUUGGAAGACGAACUACUGCGAGAGCAUUUACCAAGGAUGUUUUCAUUAA